AGGAAGGAUCUUUUCCUGGAGGCUGUUCCUUGUGGAGUUUUUGUAAGCCUACGAUACUGGGUUCAACUCUAAAUUUGUGAUCACUUACAGAAUCACUCCUGAGGUACAACACAGGAUUCAGCCUGCAAAAGAGACCUGGAAAUAGCACAAGAGGGAAGGAGACUGCCAAGGUCAUCGAACUGCAGAUCCCAACAACCGCAUCAGAACUGUAUAGAGAAAGAGAAGAUCAAACCAAACAUCGCUUGAGAAUCUGGACCAUAAGGAACCACAACAGAAACUAAGACACGAAGAACCUCAACGCUUUUAAGGGACACUCCUCUAUAUGGCUGUCCAUUAACCCAAACUGAGAGGUCUCCUUUCUUAUAUGCUGGACACCAUCCAUUUCCUGUUCCUCAGGGUACUUGAAGGCUGAAGCAGCCCAAAUGAUGAUUUUUGCUGCCAGCUGGGGGCACUCAGCCCAGGCCUUGAGCUGGUUGUAGGUGACUGAAAUUUGAGCGCUACCAGGAGGAUCCUCCAUAAUUCCUCAUCCCAAACUGUGAACUGAAUUCAGUGUUCACCUCUGAACAGGGAUAAGAAAACCAGCCUGGAAAAUAAUACUCAUUUCAGUAAUGCUACCCACACUGCAUCCAACCUGAGAGUCUGAACAUCAGCAUCCAUGUGUUGACUGGUGGGACCUGCACUUGGGAUGUUGUGCAAACCCCAGACAGAUUGUGACAGAAGACUAGCAUACUUCAGAAACAUUUCUGCUGGUCCAGAUAGAAGUAGAAGCAGCUGGCAGAGACUCCGUGACAGAAAAGAACAGCACGUUAGGCAAUGCAGUGGAAAGAGUGCUGUUGUUGGUUAGACGAAGCUAUCUGCCUGUAUGGUGGUGCCUGGAGUCAGUCUUCACUGUGUCUUCCACCGUUCAGGCUGCCCUUUGUAAAAAGCAUGUCCAAAAGAAGAAGGAAUUUACUCCUGUAAGGACCCUUAAAGACUGGUUUGGCUCCUGCCUGGGAAUUUCAAAACAAACAAAACCUCAGAAACAGACAAGAAACACAAAGAAGAUACUGAUGUCAUAAGGUACUUCCAGAUUCUCAGCAGAAAUAGUAAUGUGGAGGGAAGGAGCCAAUACAGAUUUUCUUCAAGAGUUCAGCCUCACAACUUUUCUGAGAAUAUCAACAGUUUCCAUUCAUCUACCUUUACCUCAUUGCUUCAGGCCCUUCUCCAUCGCCCAAACGCCUCCAUAAAGUCAUUCAUGGAUAUCACACAGG
ensembl:lncRNA